rnacentral:lncRNA from 1 species
GCUGCCUGGGACUCGGCCACCCGGCGAGAAGGGGCCGGCGGAUAGAUCCCUGCUCCCAACCUCAGGCUGACGGGCGGCCGAGGGCAAGGGCCACGGCCAGAGAGAUCCGGAAGCUGAGGUGGGGUUUGCGAUGGCGGUGGCGAGCUGCCGGGACCAGGGGUGGAGGCGUGCAACACAAGCCCUCCCGCACUUGUAAAGGGAUGCCCAGUAGAAUAUUCCUCUUCAGACUCAGGCGGCCCAUGCAGGAGGGAUCUGAGGCUGAGUCCUUCAGCCAGACCACAGAGCAUGGCCACCUGCAGACACGCCAAACGAAGACACAUAACUUCUGUCUCCCUCCAGUGGCACCGAGCCUUGCGGGGCCAUACAUAUAAGAAAAACGCCUGCAACUCAGGAAUCCUGAAAUGAUUUAUUGUGUGGUUUCCUAUUUACCGAGGAGAACAAACAGCAGAGUUACAGAACACUCAAGGAGCAAUCAAGGAGGAUAGGGAACAGGGGCACAGAUGAAAGAUGCCCCCCUCCAACAGGAUCCCUACGCCCUGGAUCCUGCUGGGAAUGGAGUCCUGUUAGGGGUCUAAUGGCAACACGGCGUGGCUGCAGAGGGUCUGGAGGACAACAAGCGGCCCCUCGCAGGUAUUCCGCACAGGGGAGCUAAGGACACGGUCCUUAAGGGAGAGAACACCAGCCCGCCACGCCACACGUGGGAGGGCAGGCUGCUUCCACCAGCAAGGCAGGCUCGGGGGGACCGGGGGCUUCCCGAUGGCCAGCGUUAGCUGAGGCCAACCAGGCAGUCCCGGAGCCACGUUUCAGGGUCCCACGCCUCCAGCCGCUGCCGACCCCUGUUCACAUAAGAAAGGCGGAGAGGCUGAGAACUCAGCUGACUCUGGCAUUCUGCAAGCCGCGCGAGGACAGUGCUUGAUUUGCAGCACCGUCAGCCCUGCAGCUCCAGGACACGAGGGAGUUUUCAGGGCUGCCCUGCAAGUUCUCUGGCUGUCACCCAGUGACUUGAGCUGAGAGGCGACAGCCCUGACCUUGUCGUUUUUUCUCUGCGCCCAUGCCCAGGUGCCCUCAGGACUCGUCCCCUACCGCGGGCUUUAGCACCAUCGUUGCCUCCGUGACAGUUCAGGGCGGCAGCCACUCCCGCUCCCCAGGCGCGAGCUGCGGUGGGCCCGUCAUCCCAGUCGACCGCGGGUGAGAGCGGGACGAAUUGUGAGGCCCCUGCAGGCCAUGGGUGCCUCGAGCCCCGUUGGUCACUCGGGGGUCAGACAGCUAAGGGACAGAGAGAGUACAGGAAGAAGCAGCCACCCCUGGAGCCAGGGGGAGAAGGGAAGGGGCGCGUGUCCUCGGAAGCCUCGCAGCCAGGAUGAGGGGAGUUGAAGAGCAGAGCCCAGCCUCUCUGAGGACGGGCGGCUGCCCUUUCGCAGGGAAGGAGGAAGCGCCAUCCUCGGCUAAGAGGAAAUGGCCACGGCUCCGUCUUCCAGGGCAGGGCGCUGGUUCCUUCUUCAGUGAUACCUCUUUGUGUUUGGAUUCAUCUGUUGGGCUCUUGACUUCAAUGCCCUUGGUGCUGGGGGUCUUUCUCUUUUCCCUGUUAGGGCUGCCCUUGCGGUACCUGGAAGGUGCCAGGCUAGGGCUCAGAUCACAGCCGCACCUGCCGGCCUAUGCCUCAGCAAUGCAGGAUCCAAGCCACACCUGCCACCUCCCCUGCAGCUUGGGGCAACGCUGGGACCCUAACAGACGGAUCGAGGCCAGGGAUGGGACUCGCAUCCUCCUGGAUACUGUGUCGAGUUCUUAACCCGCUGAGCCACAGCGGGAACUCCCGCCCUCCCCCCCCCUUUUCUUUUUACCGCUAAAGUGCCUUUUCCUUUUGAUUUUCUUCUUCUUUUUAUAGCCACACCCCUGGCAUGUGGAAGUUCCCAAGCCAGGGCUCGAACCUGAGCCACAGCGGUGACAACUCCGGAUCCUUAGCCUACUGUGCCACCAGGGAACUCCUAAAGUUCUUUUUCUUUUUCAAAUCUGCCUGGGCUUUUUUUUAAGUAGGCUUCUCUUUUUGAUCCCUUCUCUUAUAUAUUGAUUUGCAUGUGUCUUGGGGGCUGCUGAAGAUUUGGGGCGUUGGGGUAGCUGUCUGUCACACAGUAAUGCAAAGGCGUUGUAAGUAUCCACGAGAACUGCUUUUUGUUUGUUCAUUUGUUUGUUUUUUAGAGCCUGGGGUGUGGCAUAUGGAGUUCCCAGACUAGGGGUUGAAUCGGAGCUACAGCUGCCAGCCUAGGCCACAGCUAUAGCAACCCGGGAUCCGAACGGUGUCUGCAGCCUACACGACAGUUCACGGCAAGGCCGCGUCCCUGACCCACUGAGCGAGGCCAGGGAUCAAACCCGCGUCCUCAUGGAUACCCAUUGGAUUUGUUUCUGCUACGCCAUGAGAACUGCUUUCUGAUUCAAAAAUAAUGACUUUCGGGAGUUCCCGUCGUGGCGCAGUGGUUAACGAAUCCGACUAGGAACCAUGAGGUUGCGGGUUCGGUCCCUGCCCUUGCUCAGUGGGUUAACGAUCCGGCGUUGCCGUGAGCUGUGGUGUAGGUUGCAGGCGCGGCUCGGAUCCCGCGUUGCCUGUGGCUCUGGCGUAGGCCGGUGGCUACAGCUCCGAUUCAACCCCUAGCCUGGGAACCUCCAUAUGCCGCGGGAGCGGCCCAAGAAAUAGCAACAACAACAACAACAACAACAAAAAGACAAAAAAAAAAUAAUAAUGACUUUCCACCUAAGAUACAUAGCCAGGGAGUUCCCAUUGGGGUGGCUCAGCAGAAAGGAAUCCCACUAGUAUCGCUGAGGAGGUGGGUUCGAUCCCUGGCCUCCCUCAGGGGGUUAAGGCUCAGGUGUUGCCGAAGUCGCAGACGCGGCUUGGACCUGGCGUGGGUGUGGCUGUGGUGUAGGGUGGCAGCUACACCUCUGAUUCGACCCCUAGCCCGGGUACUUCCAUAUGCCGAGGGUGCGGCCCUAAAAAAUAAAAAAAAAAAAAAGUUGUAUAACCCAGAAAUCAAUUGAGAUUUUAAUAAACUUGGUC